UUUGAGGGGAAUGUUGUCUGGUUCGGGACAACUGUGGAAGAGACCUCGGACCAGGCUUCAUUCCCCCCAAU
rnacentral:pre_miRNA from 1 species